GGCAGAUUGAAAAGAUUCCGUAGCUUCCUGACCAUUUCCAAGUAUUAAAAAGUCCAGUUUAAUCUGAGUUAAAAUCGAACUUCACUUCCUCUUUACAUCUCCCCCCUUGCUCAGCUCAGGCUCGUCCAGAUGCACGGGUACCAGUGUAAGUGUAAGGGCACUUGGUGCUUGUUAGCUCCCCUCACUACAACUUUCGCCCCACUUUCUUAACUGCUGAUGUGUUUCCCAAGGUUGUGGAUCAGAGGACAGUGGCAGAUGUUGGCUGUGGUGCUCUUUGGCUAUUGAGAUCUUUCCAGUGGUAUGAUCCACAUGUUAGGGUUACCAUGCAGGAUCCUUGGAGACCCUGACUUGGCAGUGAACUUGGCUAACCUGCAGCCUUUCUGUCCCUGUCCCCUGCUGGUAUCCCUGUCUUUGUGAGCAUAUGUGUUAAGCUUGCUGCCUUCCAGGGCAUUCACUUGGUCCUCACGCCACACACAUUUCUGCUUGGCCGCUGUGGAAAGAUCGGACAAACCCCAGACUCAGUCUUCUCCCGGCAAAGCACUAGGGACUCAAUGUCAGGAAAACAUAAUGAAGAAUCCCCAAGAGCCAUGUUGGGGAAGAGGACUUGAGAACUGUGUUGGGGAGAAGGACCAAACCAUAGGAGAAAGGAGGAAAGGAUACUGUGCUCUAGAGAGAGAUACCUAAAACAGGUGGCAGCCAGCAGCAAAACCCAGAAAAGAAGUAGCUAUGUCUGAGUGUGGUUUGUCCCCUGCAACAUUCAUGUUGAGAUUUGGUUCCUACUUGGCAGAUUAUUAAGGUGUUGGAAGCUUUAAAAGGUGAUUAGGUCAUAGAGACACUACCCUCUUGAAGGGAUCGUAUUUAUCACAGAGUAGGUAGUUAUUGUGAGCGCAAUUUUCCGUAAAUUUAAAUAUGCACAUCUCCUCUCUUCCCUUCUCCAUGUACUCACAUCCCUUCUGAUUUUCCAUUAUUCGUGGAAUAGCAAGUGGCCUCCACCAAGAGCUGAAAAGAUGGUGGUGCCAUGCUUGUGGACCUUAGAACCAUGACCUAAACCAUCCUUUUUUACCUUAUAAACUACCCAGUCUUGGAUAUUUUGUUAUGGCAACAGAAAACAUUAAAAUAAAACUAGACUAAGACAGCAAUCUCUAAGAAUCCUUUUUAAUUGCAUUUUGUAAAACAUAACUCAAACCAGUUUAAGGAAAAAGAUUAAUUGACAUGCUCAAGUCACCAAACAAUUGAAAGUCCAGAGGUGACCCAACUUUAGGAAUUGGCAGAUCUAACACUAGAACUCUACUGAAUUUGUCUCCAACUCUCUAUUUCCUGCUUCUCCGUGAGUGCUUAUUUCUAGCUCUCAAACUGGUUGUCUCCACAUGAUAGGAGGCAUGACUAAAGCAACUAAUCUUGACAAUCACAUGGUCAGAGAGAAAAGAGAACUUUCUUUUGUCAGCUCCAGUGAGAAAAAUUGAAGGGAAGUAUUUUGAUUGGUUGGGCUGGUGCCAAUUCUAUAGCCAGGGAAAAGGGACCCUACUUAUGGCCACAUGGGUUACAUGUUCCUCCUGUGACCAGAAAGACAGGGUUUGUCACUAUAAGAAAAGAGAGAAUCACAUAAACAAGGCUACUGGGGGGAAUGACAGUUGAGUAGUCAGUCCAUUAUAUAUUUUUUUAAUAUUUAUUUUUUAGUUGUAGUCGGACACAGUACCUUUAUUUUAUUUAUUUAUUUUUAUGUGGUGGUGAGGAUUGAACCCUGGGCCUUGCAUGUGCUAGGUGAGCGCUCUACCACUGAGCCACUAUCCCAGGCCCCAUUAUAGGUUUUCUACAUUUUCUUGUUAUGAACAAGUGGUCACAGAUGAUAUUCAGAAGCAAGAUCUGGGGUGACCAUAAAGAACAAAUGCUUAGUGAACUCUCACAUGUGCUACAUAAC
rnacentral:lncRNA from 1 species